rnacentral:rRNA from 1 species
AGUUUGAUCAUGGCUCAGAUUGAACGCUGGCGGCAUGCCUUACACAUGCAAGUCGAACGGUAACAGGUCUUCGGAUGCUGACGAGUGGCGAACGGGUGAGUAAUACAUCGGAACGUGCCCGAUCGUGGGGGAUAACGAGGCGAAAGCUUUGCUAAUACCGUAUACGAUCUACGGAUGAAAGCGGGGGAUCUUCGGACCUCGCGCGGACGGAGCGGCCGAUGGCAGAUUAGGUAGUUGGUGGGAUAAAAGCUUACCAAGCCGACGAUCUGUAGCUGGUCUGAGAGGAUGAUCAGCCACACUGGGACUGAGACACGGCCCAGACUCCUACGGGAGGCAGCAGUGGGGAAUUUUGGACAAUGGGCGAAAGCCUGAUCCAGCCAUGCCGCGUGCAGGAUGAAGGCCUUCGGGUUGUAAACUGCUUUUGUACGGAACGAAAAGCCUCUUUCUAAUAAAGAGGGGUCAUGACGGUACCGUAAGAAUAAGCACCGGCUAACUACGUGCCAGCAGCCGCGGUAAUACGUAGGGUGCAAGCGUUAAUCGGAAUUACUGGGCGUAAAGCGUGCGCAGGCGGUUUUGUAAGACAGAGGUGAAAUCCCCGGGCUCAACCUGGGAACUGCCUUUGUGACUGCAAGGCUGGAGUGCGGCAGAGGGGGAUGGAAUUCCGCGUGUAGCAGUGAAAUGCGUAGAUAUGCGGAGGAACACCGAUGGCGAAGGCAAUCCCCUGGGCCUGCACUGACGCUCAUGCACGAAAGCGUGGGGAGCAAACAGGAUUAGAUACCCCGGUAGU